AUUGAACGCUGGCAGCAUGCUUUACACAUGCAAGUCGAACGGUAACAGGCCGCAAGGUGCUGACGAGUGGCGAACGGGUGAGUAAUGCAUCGGAACGUGCCCAGUCGUUGGGGAUAACUACUCGAAAGAGUAGCUAAUACCGCAUACGAUCUAUUGAUGAAAGCGGGGGACCGUAAGGCCUCGCGCGAUUGGAGCGUCCGAUGUCAGAUUAGGUAGUUGGUGGGGUAAAGGCUCACCAAGCCAACGAUCUGUAGCUGGUCUGAGAGGACAACCAGCCACACUGGGACUGAGACACGGCCCAGACUCCUACGGGAGGAAGCAGUGGGGAAUUUUGGACAAUGGGCGAAAGCCUGAUCAAGAAAUGCCGCGUGCAGGAAGAAGGCCUUCGGGUUGUAAACUGCUUUUGUACGGAACGAAAAGGAUCUGGUUAAUACCCGGGGCUAAUGACGGUACCGUAAGAAUAAGCACCGGCUAACUACGUG
rnacentral:rRNA from 1 species